rnacentral:rRNA from 1 species
UUUGUAUAAUGGGUCAGCGACUUAUAUUCAGUGGCAAGGUUAACCAUCUAGGGGAGCCGUAGGGAAACCGAGUCUUAACUGGGCGUUCAGUCUCUGGAUAUAGACCCGAAACCAGGUGAUCUAGCCAUGGGCAGGUUGAAGGUUGAGUAACAUCAACUGGAGGACCGAACCGACUAAUGUUGAAAAAUUAGCGGAUGACUUGUGGCUAGGGGUGAAAGGCCAAUCAAACCUGGAGAUAGCUGGUUCUCCCCGAAAGCUAUUUAGGUAGCGCCUCGGACGAAUACUACUGGGGGUAGAGCACUGUUAAGGCUAGGGGGUCAUCCCGACUUACCAACCCUUUGCAAACUCCGAAUACCAGUAAGUACUAUCCGGGAGACACACGGCGGGUGCUAACGUCCGUCGUGGAGAGGGAAACAACCCAGACCGCCAGCUAAGGUCCCAAAUUACUACUAAGUGGGAAACGAUGUGGGAAGGCUCAGACAGCCAGGAUGUUGGCUUAGAAGCAGCCAUCAUUUAAAGAAAGCGUAAUAGCUCACUGGUCGAGUCGGCCUGCGCGGAAGAUGUAACGGGGCUAAGUAGU